AGGGGCGGCCUAAACUGCAGUCGAGCGAUCACUGGGAGCUUGCUCCUGGUGGUUAGCGGCGGACGGGUGAUUAACACGUGGGCAACCUGCCUGUAAGACUGGGAUAACUUCGGGAAACCGGAGCUAAUACCGGAUAAUUUCUUCCCUCGCAUGAGGGAAGGUUGAAAGUCGGUUUCGGCUGACACUUACAGAUGGGCCCGCGGCGCAUUAGCUAGUUGGUGAGGUAACGGCUCACCAAGGCGACGAUGCGUAGCCGACCUGAGAGGGUGAUCGGCCACACUGGGACUGAGACACGGCCCAGACUCCUACGGGAGGCAGCAGUAGGGAAUCUUCCACAAUGGACGAAAGUCUGAUGGAGCAACGCCGCGUGAGCGAUGAAGGCCUUCGGGUCGUAAAGCUCUGUUGUCAGGGAAGAACAAGUAUCGGAGUAACUGCCGGUACCUUGACGGUACCUGACCAGAAAGCCACGGCUAACUACGUGCCAGCAGCCGCGGUAAUACGUAGGUGGCAAGCGUUGUCU
rnacentral:rRNA from 2 species